rnacentral:tRNA from 1 species
GCCUCCGUAGCUCAACGGUAGAGCAACUGAUUUGUAAUCAGUAGGUUGGCGGUUCGAAUCCGUCCGGGGGCUCCA